AAGAAAAAUGAGAAAGAUGAAGAAAAGACUAAGAACACUGAAAAAUUCCGAGAAGAACAACUGAAGAAAUUAAUUACAAAAGCUCAUAAGUCAAUAACGCAGUAUAAUAAGAUGUGCAAAUUUAAGAAGAAAACAAAAUCAAGAAAACAAUAAAUAUAUUUUUGUACAUUU
rnacentral:lncRNA from 1 species